UACGGGGGGAGCAAGCGUUGUUCGGAUUUACUGGGCGUAAAGGGCGCGUAGGCGGCGUGGUAAGUCACUUGUGAAAUCUCCGGGCUUAACUCGGAACGGUCAAGUGAUACUGCUGUGCUAGAGUGCGGAAGGGGCAACUGGAAUUCUUGGUGUAGCGGUGAAAUGCGUAGAUAUCAAGAGGAACACCUGCGGCGAAGGCGGGUUGCUGGGCCGACACUGACGCUGAGGCGCGAAAGCUAGGGGAGCGAACGGG
rnacentral:rRNA from 1 species